GCCCCGUGUCCUUGCGGUAAAGGCGUGGCCCGUGCGGCUGUGUGCCGUUCGCUGGGCGGGCUCGGAGAAAGGAGCAAAGCCCUCCGAACCCUCCGAAACAGCACGCCACCCAGCGCCCUCCAGCGGACGAGAGGGGCCAGCAAGACGCAGGGGGCCAGACGGACCAGCGCGGGGGGAGCUGGGUCCCUGCCGGCCUGCUCUCCUUUCCGUCCGUCCGGCGACGGCGACGGCGACGGCUCCCUUCCACUCUGGCUCUCCCUGCAGCCUCUCCCACUUCUGUCCCCUCCUGCUCUGCCCUCUGAUCUCGUCUCCUCUUUAAGCCCCUCUCCCUCGGUGACUCUGGCUUCCCAGACCCCUCCUGGCCUCCCAGUCGUGGGCACAGAACGAAGCCCUGCAGAGGGCCUGGGCAUGGGCUCUUGGCCCUGGCACCAUGCCGGGCGGCCUUCCUGCCCCAGACACCACAGCUAUUUUCAAACGGGCCUGAGACCCGGUCGCUUGCGAAAGGUCGUCACGGGAGGAUCUGGGGCUGAAGCAGAGGGCAGCACGAAGGACAGAGCCAGACUGAGGGGCGGCCUUCGCGGUCUGAACCGGGAGGAGCACCAUCGUCCUAGAGAAGGAGGACACCCCUUUCAGAGUGGCCUGGUGGGGAGGCGGCAGCUGGUACUUAAGGACAUUAUAAUGAGGUGAUGAAGAGUCCAGACUCUCCGGGGGUCGACUCCUGGUUCUCCUUGCUAGGUGAGUAAAGUCCAAGGUCACGCCGAUAAUCAUAGUACUUAACCCUCAUGGGAGUUGCUGGGAGGAAUAAAGGACUCGACAGGUCGUUGGAACAUUAGUUCAUUGCCUGGCGAUAAUCGGUUA